rnacentral:tRNA from 1 species
AGGUAGGGUGGCCGAGCAGGUGGCGAGCUGUAAACUCGUUUACGGGGCCCACACCCCCCCCAACCA